UGGGGAAUAUUGCACAAUGGGCGAAAGCCUGAUGCAGCGACGCCGCGUGAGGGAAGAAGGCCUUCGGGUCGUAAACCUCUGUCCAAGGGGAAGAAAAAAAUGACGGUACCCUUGGAGGAAGCCCCGGCUAACUACGUGCCAGCAGCCGCGGUAAUACGUAGGGGGCAAGCGUUAUCCGGAAUUACUGGGCGUAAAGAGUGCGUAGGUGGCCACUCAAGCGCAGGGUUUAAGGCAACGGCCUAACCGUUGUCAGCCUUGCGAACUGGGUGGCUUGAGUACAGGAGAGGAAGGCGGAAUUCCUAGUGUAGCGGUGAAAUGCGUAGAUAUUAGGAGGAACACCGGUGGCGAAGGCGGCCUUCUGGACUGUCACUGACACUGAGGCACGAAAGCGUGGGUAGCAAACA
rnacentral:rRNA from 1 species